GAUCAGUGAUGAAAAAUAGCCAAAUCUGAUUACCUGCAGAGCUGGUUUGAUCUAUAAAGCUGAGA